rnacentral:lncRNA from 1 species
CUCCUGUGAGCACAAGGCACAGAAAGUAGACCCUGUAACCCUCAGAGGGCCUGAAGGAAAGCGAUGCUGGUGUGACCUGCCCAAGAGGAUGGUGCCCAAGGCAGAGCAUUCUAGACCCUCAUAGGCAACAGAGCCACAUCAAUAUUAAUUUAAAGCUGCUGAAUAUCCUUGGAGAGCUAAUCAAGAAGGUAGAAGUUUUUCCACAUUAAUGUUGUCAAGUGACAGUAGAUUUAAGAGGUAUUGCUAGCUUGUGUCAACUGAUUCUGAUGGUCAAAUAUUUUUAUAAAUCUUUCCCUUUCAUUGCCAUCUGCUGGAUGACAAUCCUUUAUUCUGAUACAGUCAUCUUUACAAAUGACUAACCAAAGGUCUGUUUUGAAAGAUCAGCAGAAAUAGGAAUGGAAGUGAGGAUACAGAGAAUGCACAAACGGGAACCAUGUGAGGACAGUGAGAAGGUGGCCAAAAGAAACCAAAUCUACAGACACCUUGAUCUUCAACUUCUGGCAUCCAAAACGGUCUGAGAAGGAUGCCAGACAC